AUCCCAUAAUUUAUUGAUUAAUAUAGACAUAUACAUGAUACUGUGGUCAAUAAUAGAACAAAAUAGAGAAUGUGAAGAAUAUGAGCUGAACAUUCUGCUGCAAAGCAUCGUUAGUGUGUGUGUCACAGAUGAACCCCACACAGAGACAAACAGUGCAUAAACCUCUAGAUAUGACAGAUUCACAGCCUCAGAGUUAGUCGUCAGGAGCUACGCUGGUUUAGUAAUAGCAAAGAAAUGCAUCACAGUGUUACACUUACAUGACAUCUCAGUAGAAAUGAAUAAAUAAAGACAUUAAUAUAUUAAUAUUUCAGAUUUUUGGUUGUUAAGUCUAUGGACUAUAGUCUAAAAAAAUGAUCUUCACUACUCCGUAAUGCCUUGGAUUUAGUUCACAAUGAAAUCUGACUUCAAUCAUACAGUAAUUCACAGUCUAAGUCACAGGCGGUUUGCUACAUCAUCUGUUAGUACAGUAAGGAGGUUAGUCGGUUUGAUCACUAGUGGCUCACUAACUAACCUACAUGCUCUUGGGUUUCACACUUGUAUGUAUCUCAGUACAUGCUGUUUUAUUAUCACUGUCUGUGUGUGUGUGUGUGUGUGAGAGUGUGUGUGUGUGUGUGUGUGUGUGUGGAGCACACAUAUAUAACUUGAAAAUUUGUAAACGUCAAACUUUGUUAGUGUUUGUG